CUUGAGGAGGACACGUCGCAGGGAGAGCACUCUCUGAAGGUGGUUUUGAGAGAGCUGUAGGAGGCCUCUCGGGGGGGACACGUAGCAAUGGGAUAUUCUCUCCUGCUGGUGACCAUUUUAGGCAGAGGAUUGUUAGAGAUGGUGAGAGUGAGGUGUUUCGGGGCAGAGGAGAGAGUGUUGGGAGGCAAGAAAAGUUGAAAGAGAGUAGAGGAGGCUGGAAGGAAGUAAGGUAACAGAGAGCAAGGAGGACGGGAGGGAGAAGCAGAGAACUAGUGGGAGAUUUAUCUGGUCUUGAGGAGGAAACAAGGGAGUUCUCCUGGAAAAGGAGGUCUUCCAGCCCUUUGCAUCACUUCUUAUUGAGUAUCCCAAGCUGCUAGCUGGGUUGGCCAUCUUGGUUGGGAUGUUUCUGGGAGUUGCAACUCCAAUACCAUAUUCUGUGGAUCCCUAACUGCGACCUUGAUGUUUGAGCAUGAGGAAGGUCCGGUGGUCAAAGAGGUAUUUCUCAAUUUUGGGUUGCAUGGUGUCUCUGAAGAGCAGAUUUAUGAUAUUGCAAAGCAGAUUGGUGAUGCAAUCGGGAAAUUGCUGGCCUUAUUCUUGGUGGUCAAACCAUAUCAAGCAUGUUGGUAUCAAUCAACUGGUCCUUAUUGAUUUUGGAUUUAACUUCAUGUUAACCCUUCCAGAAGAUAAAGCUGAUGACUACUGUGCUUGAGUGGGGCUUGCGUAGUCUGGAGUGGGAAUGCUUACAGGAGCAGGCAAAGCAGAAAGAUGAGGAUGAGAAUGAGCAAUAACGGAUGCAGAUGGCAUUGAUUUAUUGGCAUGAUGUUGCUGUGGUUGAGAUAAUGGACCUUGCAGAUAAUAAAGAUGAGGACUUACUCCCUUCAAUGACUCAUUUGUCUUAGUUGAUGCACUUCUAGCUGAUCAAACUAAUUUGUUAGAGCAUCAUCCAGCAUUGUGCAUGGAAGUGGGUUGUGGAAGUGGUUAUGUCAUCACUUCUCUAGCCCUUUUUCUUAGCCAGGAGGCCUAAGGGGUCCAUUAUUUGGCAUUCGACAUCAACCCUCAUGCAGUGAGGGUGACCCAAGAGAUUCUGGAAGCACAUGGAGUUCAUGCAGAGUUGAUAAACACUAACGUAGCAUCAGGGCUGGAGAGGAGCCUGGCUGGAAGGAUGGGAUAAUUAAAACUGCAGGUGUAUUCUCUUUGGGCAGUCGGGAAGAUGUAGAAGUGAGAUUCCCAAAAAGCUCUGGAUGAAAUCCACCUCUGAAUACUUUGAAACCGAGAAGCAAGAUGUUAGAUACUGGCAAGCAUUCAGAAUUAUUUGCCAAGAGAUGCUGACGAAGAUAAGCAUUCUAUGAACCAAUGCAUGUUUGCAAAGGAGUCCACAGAGAAUUCGGGAACAGAAAUUUCUGAUAACAAGGACAAUGAAUGUUCAGGUUGAAAUAGAUUUUGUGAAGGUGAAGGCUACUACUGUCAACCUUAACAGCAUAGAAAAUGGGUUUCUAUGGGAUACUACUAGUGUUGGAUCUAAUGGACUGCUAACAGAAGAUGGGUUGCCCAAAGAAAGCAUUUCUGAGGCUGGUAAAAUGACACAUGGUGCUACUUCCUCCAGUAUGGUGAAUCAGCAAGUGCAAAAGCGUGCCAAUUCACCCAGAUUGCCACAAUCUAUUACAAGUAAAAGGUCCAAAGAAGAAUAGAUGCGUGGUUCACAAAGCCUCCGUCCUCAUGGCCACCUUAAUGCACGUAUGGCCGGUUCUUGCCCAUCUCCAGCUUUGGUAUCCUCAGCAUCGCAGAGUCUCCAUUUCUCUUGCUCCAUUGGGUUUCAGAAACAUCAUGCAACCACUGUAUGUGACAACCCCAGUUACACCAUCCAUGCCUUUUUCCUGCACCAGUCCUCUUCCAACUGAGUCACCUGGGUAGCCAGUAGCUCCUCCAGGACAGAAAGGUCUCUGCAUCAUCCAGAGUUUUACAGAGAAGCUUUCAUCUGAUUUCGAAAUGUUCUGAGGAAUCAAAGUAGUACCAUGCGAGGAACUAUUUUUAUGAAGGAUGCAGCAGAAACUUGAAAAUCUCUCUCGAAAAUUGGAAACCAGAUAUCAACAGGUAGUUCCAGCUGCCACUGCAUUUGUUUCUCUUGAUAACAAUCCAGAGGGCCUAAACAUCCCAGUUUCAUUUACAUUGGAAGACAGCUUGGUUUCUCCUUGUUCUGCCAAAAAAGAAACUAGAAAUAUAACUGAAUUGAAGAUUAGAAAGUGAACUUGAAUCUUUUAGCCGUUGAGUAAUACGAAAUAUUGAAAUCGAAAGAGGCUUUGAUCUGGCCUGUAGAGGAGAAUAUGGCUGCAGCCCCGAUCGUGUCAAUUAAGAUAGCGAUUGCUUAGAUGCUGAUAGUAGAAAAACAAAAGGUGAAUGGCAAGAAAGGCAAACAAAGGCCUGAGAGAGGAAUAAAACUAAUUCAUUGAUUCCAUCCCUUCACUGAUUGUACAGUAGCAACAUAUAUAGGAAGGCUUGGAACAAUCGAGAAGAGUUCAGCUCAUCCAGAAAAUGAAAAAUAACAAAAUAAAAAAUUCCACUAACUUGUAACAACCUAACAAACUCUGCAUAUUUCUUUGUUCAACAAGGAAGGCAAGUUUACGUCUA